AGUGGCGGACGGGUGAGUAAUGCUUGGGAACUUGCCUUUGCGAGGGGGAUAACAGUUGGAAACGACUGCUAAUACCGCAUAAUGUCUUCGGACCAAACGGGGCUUCGGCUCCGGCGCAGAGAGAGGCCCAAGUGAGAUUAGCUAGUUGGUGAGGUAAAGGCUCACCAAGGCGACGAUCUCUAGCUGUUCUGAGAGGAAGAUCAGCCACACUGGGACUGAGACACGGCCCAGACUCCUACGGGAGGCAGCAGUGGGGAAUAUUGCACAAUGGGGGAAACCCUGAUGCAGCCAUGCCGCGUGUGUGAAGAAGGCCUUCGGGUUGUAAAGCACUUUCAGUUGUGAGGAAAAGUUAGUAGUUAAUACCUGCUAGCCGUGACGUUAACAACAGAAGAAGCACCGGCUAACUCCGUGCCAGCAGCCGCGGUAAUACGGAGGGUGCGAGCGUUAAUCGGAAUUACUGGGCGUAAAGCGCACGCAGGCGGUUUGUUAAGCUAGAUGUGAAAGCCCCGGGCUCAACCUGGGAUGGUCAUUUAGAACUGGCAGACUAGAGUCUUGGAGAGGGGAGUGGAAUUCCAGGUGUAGCGGUGAAAUGCGUAGAUAUCUGGAGGAACAUCAGUGGCGAAGGCGACUCCCUGGCCAAAGACUGACGCUCAUGUGCGAAAGUGUGGGUAGCGAACAGGAUUAGAUACCCUGGUAGUCCACACCGUAAACGCUGUCUACUAGCUGUGUGUGAUUUUAAAUCGUGCGUAGCGAAGCUAACGCGCUAAGUAGACCGCC
rnacentral:rRNA from 1 species